rnacentral:lncRNA from 1 species
UUUUUUUUUUUUUUUUUUUUUUUUUGGUCUUUUUGCCAUUUCUUAGGCCGCUCCCACAGCAUAUGGAGGUUCCCAGGCUAGGGGUCUAAUUGGAGCUGUAGCCACUGGUCUACGCCAGAGCCACAGCAAUGCCAGAUCCGAGCCACAUCUGAGACCUACUCCACAGCUCAUGGCAACGCCAGAUCGUAACCCACUGAGUAGGGCCAGGGAUUGAACCCGCAACCUCAUGGUUCCUAGUCAGAUUUGUUAACCACUGAGCCACGACGGGAACUCCUGAUCUAUUUGUCUCAUCUUUGCACUAAUACCACACUAUCUUGGUAUCUGUAGCUUUGUAACAAACACUGAAGUCAGGUGAUGCUGCUCCAGCUUUUUUUUUUAAAAUUUAUUUUAUUUUUUUAUUACUCAAAUGAAUUUAUCACAUUUGUAGUUGUAUAAUGAUCAUCACAAUCUAAUUUCACAGGAUUUUCAUUCCACAGCCCAAGCACAUCCCCCCAUCCCCCAAACUGUCUCCAUAAGUUUUUCAAUGUCUGUGAGUCAGCAUCUGUUCUGCAAAGACGUUCAGUCUGUCUGAAAAAAGUCUGUCCUUUUUUUCAGAUUCCACAUGUCAAUGAAAGCAUUUGAUGUUGGUGUCUCAUUGUAUGGCUGACUUCACUUAGCAUGAUAAUUUCUAGGUCCAUCCAUGUUGCAAAAAAUGCUGGUAUUUCGUUCUUUUUAAUGGCUGAGUAAUAUUCCAUUGUGUAUAUGUACCCCAUCGUCUGAUCCUCUCCUCUGUCAGUGGACAUUUAGGUUGUUUUAGCUAUUGUAAAUAGUGCUGCAAUGAACAUCGGAGUACAUGUGUCUUUGUGAGUCAUGGUUUUCUCUGGAUAGAUGCCCAGGAGUGGGAUUGUCCAGCUUUUUUCUAAAGUUGUUUGUCUACUCUAUGUCCUUUGCAUUUCCAUAUGAAUUGAGUCUUUCCUCAUUAUGUGUGAUGACAGGUUUUUCAUAGAGGCCCUUUAUCUAAUUAAGAGUUCCUUUCUAUUUUGAGUGUGCUCAGAGUUUUUAUAAGAAAGAUGUUGGAUCUUGUUCAAACAUUUUUCUCUGCAUUUAUUGAGAUGAUCAUGUGGUCUUUCAUUUUAGUUUGUUAUAUGGUGAAUUAUAUUUGUAAAACAUUGAUUGAUUCUUGAAUAUUGGAUUAACCUAAUAUUCUUACAAUUAACUCCCCCCCCCCUUAGUCAUGAGGCAUUAUUCAUUUUAAACAGGCAGUUGUCUUUUAAAGAGUUAAAUGAGAAGAAAAUAAAAUCUAACCAAUAUAGUUAUCAUUUCCACUGGGUCUUCAAACCUUUGGUUUGGAUCCAUAUUUUUGUUUGGCAUCAUUUCCAGUCCCUUCCCUCCUCAUACUUACCUUUCUGAAGAACUUUAUCAAUUUUAUAGUAUGGAACUGCUGAUGAGAAGGUCUUACCACUUUUAUAUGCCUCAAUAUCUUUAUUUCAUUCACAUUUUUGAAAGAUACUUUCACAGGUAUAGAUGAUUGUUUUCUUUCAGAACUUUAAAGAUGUUGCUUUAUUUUUGGCUAACUUUUAUUGUUUCUAACAAAACUAGGCCAUCUUGCUUACUUUUGUUCCUUUGACUAUAAACUGUCAUUUUUCUUUGGUUUUAAGAUUUUCUCUUUAACACUGGUUUUCAGAAAUGUAAUUUUUUUUUCUUUUUAGGUCUGCACUUGCAGCAUAUGAAAGUUCCCAGGCUAGGAUUUGAACUGGAGCUGCAGCUGCUGGCCUGUGGAUAGCCACAUCCAUACCAGAUUGGAGCUGCAUGGCAACUCCAGAUCCUUAACCCACUGAGCAAGGCCAAGGGUUGAACCCACAUCCUCAUGGAUGCUAGUCAUGGCAGUGCCCCAACAAGAACUCCCAGAAAUUUGAUUUAUUAUGUUAUUUAUAGCUGUAUUUGUGUUUCUCGUGCUUGUACAAGGGGUUGGUUGAACUUGGGUCUGUUUAUAAUUUUUAUCAAAUUUUGAAAAAUUGCAGCUAUGAUUUAUUCCCAUAUUUUUCUGUUUCUCCCUUUCUUUUCUCCCCUUUGGAGACUCUAAUUAUAUGUGUAACAGGCAACUUGAUGUUCUCUUCCAGUUCAGUGAUGCUCUGUUUAUAUUUGAGUCUGUCUUCUCCUUGUGUUUUAUUUUGGGUAGCUUCUCUUUCUGUAUCUUUAUAAAUUCACUAAUCUUUUCCCUGUAAUUUAAUAUGCUUUAAAUCCCAUUUAGUUUAUUCUUUAUCACAAUAUUGUAAAUUUCAUCUUUAGAAGCUGAAUCUUUUAAAAAAUAUCUCCCAUGUCACUACUUAACAUGUUCAAUAUUUCCUCCAGCGUUUUGGACAUAAGGAAUAUAUUUAUAAUGAGUACUUGAAUGUCAUGUUCUCAUAAUUCUAGUAUCUGUGUCCAUUAUGCUUUAGCUUCAGUUGAGUUUUUUUCUCCUUAUAGUAGAUUGUAGUUCUCUGCUUCUUUGUAGGUCUAGUAAUUUUUGAUUGGAUGCCAGAUAUUAUAAAUUUUACCUUUUUGGCUGCUGGAUAUUUUUAUAGUUUUAUAAAGAUUCUUGAGCUUUGUUCUGGGAUGCAGUGAACUUUGCUUGGAACAGUUUAAUCCUUUCAGGGUUUGCUUUUGAGAAUUGUUGGGCAGAGACAGAACUGUCUUUAUUUCAGAGUUAAUUAUUCCUCAUUACUGAUGCAUGGUACUUUUGAGUCUCUACCACAUCGCUCAUGAAUUUAUAAUGUUUUCUCAUCUGAUUAGCAGAAACACACACUAAUCCUGGGCCUGCACAUGUUCUAGGUACUGUUUCCUUUAACUUUUUCAUGUAAUCCCUCACACACAUGCUCUGAUCAGUAUUCUCCUAAUUACUCAAAGGGAACAUUAUCAGAGCUCUCUCUCCCUCCCUCUCAACCUGUGCAGUUCUCUCCUCUCUGAUAUUCUUCCUUGCAUGCAUUUCAGGUAAAUUCUAGCUGCAUGGUCUUCUUCUGCUACUUUUCUGCUACUUUUUUUUUUCAAUACAGAGAACCCAUCAGGCUUCCCUGGGUUCAUUUCUUUUUUGUUUCCUGUCUUUAAGGGAUCACUUUCUUUGUUGCCUAGUGGAGCCUCUUGUAAACCGUGGUUUAUAUAUAUAUAUAUUUUUUAUUUUUCUAAAAUUGUUUCAGGAGUGCAGGUACAUACAGCCCCUGUUACUCCAUCUUGGUUAGAAGCAGAAGUUCCCAGAUCAUGCCCUUAGUCAUGGCCUUGAUGAAAGAAAUACUGGGGAAGAUGACUCCUUACAUCCAACCUCAGUUGGAAGGUCCGUUUGCCAUCUUCCCUUCUGGCCGAGUGGGCCAUAUAGGCCCUUGGCUCAGGUUGUGGUCUUAGGAGCUGGGCUUGGGGUAUAGAGCUGAAGAGCCCAGUCUUUCCUGUGGAGGGUGGAGAAGGGAAAUUGCUAUCUAUAUUCCAGAUAAAAGAGCAUCAGAACAUAGACAUUUUUUUUCCUCUAAAAAAUAUUUUCUGCAUUCUUCAAUUAAGUUGAAGAUUUCUUUAGGCUCUGGCUUUUUUAUUCAGUUCUCGUGAGUGAAAUCCUACUUUUCAUGCAGGAAUUCCAAUACAGAAGGAACUCUGGGUAGAUCAGAGGAUUAGUUGAUACAGGUGCAGAAGGUAUGGCAUGUGAAACAGCAAAGCUCAUUAGGAGAAACUUUUUAGAUAAACUUUGAACAGAAGACUCUUAUCAGGUUGAAGGCCUGGCCUGUGUUUUAAAAUUAUAACACACCUCUGUGAACUAAAAAAUCUAAUGGGCUUAGAGCAGUUUAAACAUUUAUCUCCUGUGUAAUCUAGCCUUUAAAAGCCUCUAAAGACCUUUUAUGCUAAUUGGCCUUCUGGGCCAUGUUAUUCAAGUUGAGAACUUUUACUUUAAAAAUCAUAUUUCUUUGUCAAACAGAAAAUCCUUAGACUCCAUGUUUGUGUCUUCUCCCUGUAUGCCUCAAGGCAAAUACAUCGAUAAAUGUCAUAAAUUCCUUGCCUUCCAGAAUGUUACUAGAGAUUUAUUAUUGGGAAGAACAGAAAUGGAUCUGAAGCCUCAAAUUCCAGGCUGUGAGUCUAUACACAGAACCAACAAAAUGUAUCAAAUGGAUGUGGGUGAUGAGGCCCAGGGAAGUUUGUUAGGUUUCUGGAACUGGAGGGAUCUGUGCUUCUUGAAGGGACAUAUCAGAAUGUCAGAGGGGCUGGAAGCCACAAAAUGAACACAACACUUUGUGAACCAUCAGUUUUAUGUGUUGCUAAACAUUUACAACAUUUUUAGAAAAUAAAAAGAUCUAUUAGGAUAUAAAAUGUAGAAUUUGCUGCAUUUUAGAUAAAAAUCAGACCUAGAAAAAAAUACUGGGCCUUAGGUCACCUUGGGUCACACCCUCAGAAUGCAGGUGGUGGAGGAGGUUCUGAUCAUUCUCCUGCAUGGAAUAGGGGUAUUUCAUUGGAAAACUUGAGAACCUUGCUCAAAAACUACAGUUACCCUACAAAGAGGAGGAGAGAGGAGCCCCUUUAUGGAAGGCCAGCAGCUGUGCAGUGGGCAUGGAGAGAAAUGUUGAUGGGCCGAGCCCAUGCAGACACCCCUGAGAACUACCAAAAUGGGGACAAGAUCAUUCUACUCACUCAUUCAUGUAUGCACCCAUCUCUCCCUCUCUUCCUCCCUCUCUUCCUUACUCUCUUCCUCCUUCCUUCUCCAUCCAUCUGUCUGUCCAUCCAUCCUUCCAUCCAUUUUAUGGGCCCUUAUAAAAUGCCUCCUCUGUAUCUAGGAUAGUAGUAGGUGAUGAAAAUGAAAAAGGAUAAGAAAUAGUCUGUGAUCCCAAAGAGUUUACUAUCUAGUGCAGGAUUUCUCAGAGUUCUUCCUGCUGUAACAAAUAUAAUUGUGGAAAUACUUGCUAAAUCUAUUGAGCAGUGCCAAACUGUUCAAAGCGAUUUACAUGAAAUAACUCAUUUAAUAUUUAUAAUAACUCUUUGGCUCAAGCACUGUUAUCAUUUCCACUACACAGCUGAGGAGCAGGUGGACUUUGUUCUCUGGGCUGAGAGUUAUUGUCUAGGGGGUUAAGUAUGUUUAUAAAUAAUUAUAAUGCUGUAAGUGUAAUUUGAAUACAAGAAUAAUAGGACCAGUUAUUUCUGAGGAAGUGUAGACCCCUGAUUCCAGAUGGAAGACCAACUGAGCAUGGCACCCCAACAUGGAAUUUCUUUCCUGCUAAUUAUCACAGAAUCACAGAAUCUGGGGCCUGCUACACGCAUACCUUGUUUUAUUGUUUUAUGCUUGCUUUAUUGCACUUUGCAGAUAAUGGUGUUUUUCACGUAUUGAAGGUUUGUGGCAGGCCUGCCUUGAGCAAAUUUAUCAGUACCAUUGUACCACUGUUCACUUCGAGUCUCUCUGUCUCAUACUGGUAAUUCUCACAGUAUUUUAAACUUUGUCAUUAUUAUUAUAUUUUUUAUGGUGAUCAGUAAUCUUUGAUGUUACUGUUGCAAAAAGAUGAUGACUCGCUGAAGGCUCAGAUGAUGGUUAACAACUUUUAGCAGUAUUUUUAAACUAAUGUAUGUAUAUUGGGUUUUUUUUUUUUUUGAGAUGAUGCUAUUGAACACUUAAUAGACUACAAUAUAUGCAUUGGGAAACCAAAAAAAUCAUGUGACUCACUUUAUUGCAAUAUUUGCUUUAUUAAGGUGGUCUGGAACCAAACCUACGAUAUCCCUGAGUUCUGCCUGACGAUAACUUUUCACAGCAUUUGGCGUGAGGUUUUGAACAACUUCAGUGGCAAAGCUCUCCCAACCUUACAAGGCAGCCCAUUCUGUCUUUGGUCAGCCUGAAUGGUGGGAAAUACAUGUAUUAUUAAAAUCUGCCUCGUGAUAAUGUCUGAAAAUCGGUCCUUGUCCUGUUCUUAGGGCAUCGUUUCUUAAUGUUCUGUGUACGGGGUGCUAAUAGGCAUCAUAUGGGGAAAUAAAAGAGAGAGUCACGUACAUAGUAGGUAUAGUAAGUAAAUUCUAACAAAGUUUUUUUUUUCUUAAUUAGAGAUUUUCUCAGAAUCUUUUGUAUGCUAAAGUUCUUUGUGCAUCUCAGAGAGGGAUUGCCUUUGUGGCAUUUUCCAAAUUUAUUCACCCAUGCAGCUCUCUUCUUGAUAGGUACCUAUUACUCCGUUGGUAACAGCUGGGGAAGUUAAGGCUCUGGUGUCCCUCCAUUAGACUUAGCAUGAUCCUUCUUUCCAGGCCAGCUUUUCAAAUGCUUGGGCAUGUGCUCCAAACAAAGCUUUCUUCAAACUAAACAUCUCUGUGUCUUUCAGCCUUCUUCAUAGUCAGGUUUUCAGACCUUUCUCCCUCUGGCCACCCUUCACUGGGCAGCUCUGAUCUGCCUAUGUCCCUCCUAAAGUGUGCAGUUCACAGCUGAGGAUAAUAGCUCUGUGUAGUCUUUGGGUUUGUCCCUUUGGAUACAGAACCCUUAAAACAUUGUCAUUGUGUUCUUUUAUUUCCAACCUGACAAGGGUGGGUUAAUCUGACUCUCAGCCCAGAAAUGAUGAAGGCAAGAGAAGCUUGUGGAAUUUGGAGCAGUUCAAGGAAGAAAUGGAAUAAUUUUUGUGUUUGAAGCUUUGAAAUGUCUUAAAUAAGCAACCAUUGGAGAGCCUACUAUGUGUAAGGCUCUGUGAAGGGUAGAAGAGAUGUAAGCCAUUUAGUCUAUCACUCAAAGAGCUGAUUGUUAAACUGGGAAGAUGAUUAACAGAAAAAGCAAAAAUAUAAGAUAGCAAAAGAAAAAAA